GUCGUGCGAGAAAGUACCCUUCGGGGUGCGAGUAGAGCGGCAAACGGGUGAGUAACACGUAAGUAACCUACCUCUAAAUCUGGAAUAACUCUGCCAACGCGGAGCUAAUACCGGAUGUGGUCACGAUGCUGCAUGGUAUUGUGACUAAAGGUGACCUCUCCUUGGAAGUUACCGUUUAGAGAUGGGCAUGCAGACCAUUAGCUAGUUGGUGAGGUAACGGCUCACCAAGGCUACGAUGGAUAGCCGGCCUAAGAGGGUGAUCGGCCACAUUGGGACUGAGAUACGGCCCAGACUCCUACGGGAGGCAGCAGUAGGGAAUUUUGCGCAAUGGACGAAAGUCUGACGCAGCAACGCCGCGUGAGGGAUGACGGCCUUCGGGUUGUAAACCUCUGUUGAGUGGGAAGAAAAGCUUUGUGGUUAAUAUCCACAGAGUCUGACGGUACCACUCGAGGAAGCUCCGGCUAACUACGUGCCAGCAGCCGCGGUAAUACGUAGGGGGCUAGCGUUGUUCGGAAUCACUGGGCGUAAAGGGAGUGUAGGCGGACCGGUAAGUUAGGAGUUAAAUGUACGGGCUCAACCCGUGAUCUGCUUUUAAUACUGUCGGUCUUGAGCAUGGGAGAGGGAGAUGGAAUUCCAGGUGUAGCGGUGGAAUGCGUAGAUAUCUGGAAGAACACCAGUUGCGAAGGCGGUCUCCUGGACCAAUACUGACGCUGAUGCUCGAAAGCUGGGGGAGCGAACAGGAUUAGAUACCCUGGUAGUCCCAGCCGUAAACGAUGGACACUAGUUGCCGGAGGAGUCAAUCCCUUCGGUGACGAAGCUAACGCAUUAAGUGUCCCGCCUGGGGAGUACGCUCGCAAGGGUGAAACUCAAAGGAAUUGACGGGGGCCCGCACAAGCGGUGGAGCAUGUGCUUUAAUUCGAUGCAACGCGAAGAACCUUACCUGGGUUUGACAUGGGGGUGAAAGUUUCCAGAGAUGGAAGCCUUUCCUUCGGGAACACCCCACACAGGUGCUGCAUGGUUGUCGUCAGCUCGUGUCGUGAGAUGUUGGGUUAAGUCCCGCAACGAGCGCAACCCCUGCCCUUAGUUGCCAUCAGGUAAAGCUGGGAA
rnacentral:rRNA from 1 species